UACGGGGGGAGCAAGCGUUGUUCGGAUUUACUGGGCGUAAAGGGCGCGUAGGCGGCCACCGCAAGUCGACUGUGAAAUCUCCGGGCUUAACCCGGAAAGGUCAGCCGAUACUGCGGGGCUAGAGUGCAGAAGGGGCAACUGGAAUUCUCGGUGUAGCGGUGAAAUGCGUAGAUAUCGAGAGGAACACCUGCGGCGAAGGCGGGUUGCUGGGCUGACACUGACGCUGAGACGCGAAAGCGUGGGGAGCGAACAGG
rnacentral:rRNA from 1 species